AUCCACAUGAUGUGGUGUCCCUUGGCAUUCAAAAGCGCCAAAAGAAACCUAACAACGAGUAGAAGCAGUGAUGAAACCUCGACCUCUAACCCCAGCACCAAGGGGUUGUGCCUGUCGCCAUCCCUUGAACAAUGAGCAGAAGCGGCGAUGAAACUGCGGUGACUGAAGAAGCACAACCCAAAGAGUCCCUACCGAACCUCUUUUCUUUGUUUCCUAAAAUCAAUUUUCAACUCCCUUUCCUCCCACCCAAACCUCAAGAACCCAACCCUGAGGCUCAGGCUCAACAAGAGCUUCCGAAGCCUAGCCGUGUACAGUUUCCGAAAACUCAAGUGGCGAUGGUUGCUUCUUCGCCUCUGCUAGCUGAACCUAAUGCUGACCACUCUCCCGCUGCUAAGACAACCAAUCCUCUUAUACUGUGGCAGGCUUGAGCAGUAGUCAGCGUUUUUCUUUAACAUUCAUAUUUUGAGGAUGAAGUGCACAAUGGCAAUUGGGAUGAGGUGGAGAAAUACCUCUCUGGUUUCACAAAGGUGGAUGAUAAUAGGUAUUCUAUGAAGAUAUUUUUUGAGAUAAGGCAGCAGAGGUAUCUGGAGGCUUUAAAUAAGUAGGCUCAUAACAAGUUCACAUUUAGAUUCUGUUGUUGACUCUCUCUCUCUUUCUCUGCAUCCUAGUUCUAGGCUUCUACUACUAGCUGACAAGUUUAGUUGAAUUGUUUUAAAUUUUCGUAGGCAUGACUGGUCCAAGGCUAUAUAAAUAUUAGUGAAGGAUUUGAAAGUGUUUGCUACAUUUAACGAAGAAUUGUUCAACGAAAUCACACAGCUUCUGACAUUGGAAAAUUUUAGAUGCGUGCAGCUGUAUGUGAAGUUGUCAAUUGUUUUCCCACUCACUACUACAAUAAUAGAUUAUUACAACGCGCUAAUAAUUACGGUUGGCAUAGACCAUCUUUGAAAAUGAUAUAGUGACAGUAUGGUAAUUAAGUACAACCUAGGAGUGUAGAAAGACAACCUCAAACGCAAAGGUUUGUAAUUGUCUUCUUCUCAUGUCAACUUGGUGUUAAAUUAUUUGUUUGUACUUUAGAUAUAUGGACCAUAUGGUUGGGUGAAAAUGCCUGGUAAAUAGCUGAUUAAUUAUUACUUCUAGGUAAGAGUUUAUUUUUUUUGUUUGAGUUAAACGAAUCAGAGACAUGAAAGCAUGAUGAAGUAGAUGGAAUUCGAAACUUUAAUUUGCUGUGA